rnacentral:lncRNA from 1 species
UUCUGAGAAGGCAGAUUUCUAUCGAAGCCGUGUUAAUUUUCUUAUCUUGCUUCUCCAGGGUAAAAGGUACUUUUUAUUCCUUUUCAGGUUGGUGAGUAGGCGUGAAUAUGCUUUCAGACAUGUAUGUGAUAAGUGUGCGUGUCUUUAUCUUGUUAAUAUUUUUGCUCCUUUGGCCUGAAGGAAAUGAUGAUGUUCAUCACAAUUUCAUGUCUGAUUAUUUGGUGUAAUUUAUUCUGCAGGAUCGAUAGAUAAUUUAGUUCUCAUGCUAAAUUCCUAUGAGGUAAGUAAUUUUCUCUUUUGCAAAUGCUAAUUUUUUCAUUGAUCUGGAAACUAGAGAGCAAGAACUCAACAUGAGACAGAUUUUAAGAUUUUGGUAGAAAACGUACACAUACAUGUCAAAUAUUUGAGGAGGAAAGAAGCCGGUGGUAUUGUGCUUAGCCAGUAAACAUCAUCCUUGUACUGGCAAGAGAGGCGUCUUAGCCCAUUAUGACAAAGGGAGAUUACUUUUGAUGGAAAAACAUGACAUCUUGAUUAGACCAGUAUUAGUUAUGAUAUGGAACCAUAUCACAUGUGCGCCCCCCAUUUUUUUUUCUGUUUUUCUUUCCCUUUUGGGGGCUUUAUAUGAAGCCCCAUAUCUGGGCUGUGGUGACUUUACAGUUGUGGGAUAACUGGGAUUCCAUGUCUAAGUUGUUUUUUUUAAUUAGCUAUUAUUUAUUCUUUGAGCAUGGAUUGUGUGUGGAGAAAAAUGGGGUUUGCUUUAUGAUAUACAGUAGAUUUAUUUGUUGCAUUCUUUUUGCUUCCCGGUGCUAAUUUAGAACUCUACACCAAACUUUCUAAGCUGAUCCAAUUUCUUUUCUU